UCACCUCCCGGGUCACGGCGGCCGGGAUGAGUCCGCGCCGCCGCGCAGCCUCCGAGUUUCCGCCCCGAGGCGCGCGGCCUCCUCAGCCCGCCCCAUCUCGCCGCUCCGAGACUCAGGGAAGCUCCGGGUCCUUCCGAGCAGUCUCCGCUGUGCAGCCCGCGCCCCUCACCCCGCCCCGCCGGGGCGCGGGCAACCAGCCCCUCAGACACGCGCCGACGCCCCCCGCCCCGCCUCCAGCCACCGCAGCAGCUGCCACGCGGGACACGGCGGGCCAAGACCCCGCGACUAAACGACGGCUGCCGUCAGUAGCGCGGGAGGUAAAGCCAGACCUCUUCCGGCUGCCUCGAGUACCCGCAGACUGAUUCCUCCUGCCCCGUAGACAGGUGCAACUAUUGCAGAGAAUUGCUAAAUAUCAAAUACCUGCAGAAUCAUAUAUUGGAGAAACGAGAAAAUACUACCAGACUCUGCUGGGCAACAGUACUGCAGGAGCUAUGUGGUUGAAACUGGCUCAUCUCCUUGUCCACGGUUCAGCCUGCACAAUCCCUCUAAUGGUCAGCUUGCUGCAAGGGAGCUGGGAAAUUCAAUCUUGAGCUGUAUGUCUAAAU